GUGGUAGAUCAGGGCCCACUGUGAAGGGCCUGCUUGCGGUGCUGAGUCAGACCUGAGGCCUGCCAGCUGGGUUUUAAGGGCUUCAAGUGGUGGAGAGUUGAGUUUUAGGAAGACCACCUAGGGCAGCGUAGACACGAUGAUUCGGGAAGAGGCUCCCUGAAGCAGCAGGUGUAACGCAGAGCUUCUCGAGUUAGGGUGCCUCCGAAUCCCCUGGAGGGCCUGUUAAAGCACAUGGUGCCAGGUCCCACUGCCAGAGUGUUUAGGUUCCUACAGGGGGGCUGGAGGCCUGAGCAUCUGAAGUUCUGGCAGAUUCCUAGGGGCGGCUGCUGGUGGUGGUGAAGCUCUUCGGUAUGUGGGCCUGGCUCAGGGUGCUGCUGAGUUUAAACUUUAGCUCUUCCGCUUGUAGCUAGCCAAGUGGCCUUGGCCAAGUCCUCUAAUCUGUGACCCUCAGUUUCCUCUUCUGUAAAUGGGAUACUACCCAGUUCGAAAGGAUGUAAGAAUCCAGUGAGAUACUGUUUUUAAGCUCUUGGCACAGUGCCUGCAGUCAGCAUCAGUAGGUUUUAUUAUUUUUAUUAAUACCAGCGAGGAGCCUGUUGCAGAAUUGCAAGGGAGAGGUCAAGGUGAGGCUGAUAGGCUGGUGACGGACGGGUGGAGAGGAGGGGAUCUGUUUUCUCUGAGGCUCCAAACCCUGUGAUCCUUCCAGCACUUGGAACUGUUGAAACCUGCCGGCUGGCCCCUGUCUGGCCACUAGAGGGCAGUGGAGCCAAGGCUUCCCAAGGAAGGCGCCUGCCCAGAAGGUUGGGGCUGGUCUGUGCAUUCAGCCUUUAGUCCUGUUCUGAAGCCUAAUUGUGUAUUUGCAUUGCGCUGUUCCCUCCCUCCUUACUCUAUGUACUUGCUGACGUUUUUGGAAAACACUUUGCAUCGCAGGGCACCUCUGAAUUCUUGCUCGUCUUGUGGCCUGGGAUUAGCCGUGGCUGAAGCAUCCUGCUUUCUGGCAGCUGUGUUUAUUUCUCAAGGGCACAGGCAGAGCAGAACAUGGGGGCUUGGGCCCUGAAGCUCAGCAGAGCCUGGGAUGAACCACAGUUGCUCUUCUGCCAGUUCAAAACUUGGGGCCUGUUCCAUCUUGCAUUCCUCCCCCGCUCCCCAGCCCUUGCCUGCACCCUUUGAUCCUGUGGGUGGAGAAAUAGAGGGAAUUCCAAAUCCUUGAUCCAUUUUGAAGGCUGGCUGGAAGGAAGGCUUUCUAGGGGCCUGGUAAACAGCGCUGGUUGAAUCAUUUCAGAGAAGUGCAGUACUCUUUCAAGGUCAUAGAAUGUGGUGAGGGAAGGAAAAAAACUGGAAGCACAUUUAUAAUAUUUGAUGGUGUACCUUGUGCCAAGCCCUGUAUGUUGAUGAGUUGCUUUAUUCCAUAAGAAUAAUAUGAGGUACCAAUGACAGCAGCCUGCUCUUAUUGAUUGUGUGAUAUGGGCCAGGCUCUGUGCUAAGUGAUUUUCACAUAUUUGCUCUUUUAACCCUAAUAACUGCCCAUGAGCUAUUAUUAAUCCUGAAAGGACUGAGACUUAGAGAGGUUGCAGUAGGAUACCCAGGGCCAAAGAGUGGUGCUGUUAGAAAUUCAAACCUGUGUGUCUCACUCCAGAAGCCAAGCUCUUUCUUUCAGAAAUACUGGGCACGGUCAAUUCUCCUUUUAGCCCAGCUCUUUGCAGAAGUGGAGCUUACAGACAUUAGGAAGGAGAAGGCCAGGUUUAUGACAAAGCAGCCUAUUAAGUACUCAUGAUCACACUGCAUACUGGACUAGUUAAGAGCAUGGAUUUAGGACCAGAUUGCCUGGGUUCAAAUCCUGGCUCUGCCACUUACCAUCUCAGUAGGGCAAAAUCUUUGACAUCUGAGUCUUAGUUUCCUCAUUUAGGGAUAAAAUGGCCAGUAGUGAUAGUAGCUACCUCACUGGUUUGCGCUGAAGGUUAAACGAGUUAAUACAAGUGAAGUGCUUAGAUCAGUGCCUGGCACAAAGUACAAGUGUGGUCAACAUUAGCUGUUAUUAUCAUUAUUUUUAACUGUCAUGCCGUAUUCACCUCUGUAUUCUCAGUGCCUGGCUUAUACUAGUGGUUGGCAAAUGUUUAUUGAAUGAAAUGAGCCCUUGAAUUCAGAAAAUAUUUUCUGAGCUCUGGAGGGUGCCAGGUGCUGGCUUGGUACAUAAAUGACUCCGUUUAGACCCUGUCCUCAGGACGUCUUAUUCUGGUAGGAGGGGUCAGGCAUGGGCUCUAAUUACCACACAAGGCAGAAACGUUCUAACGGAGGUCCUGAUGCAGGUAAGAGCACUUCUGGAGUGGGGUAGGGGCUGUGGGCCCGUUUCAGAGGGGACAGCCUUUGAAUUAGGCCUUGAAAAUGGUGGAGGAGAAGGAGGGGAAUGGUGGGCUGGGCCAGAGAAUUCAGGCUUCUUGGGCCCAAUAUGUCUGCAACUUCACAAAAGACCACUGAAGCAAGCUAGAUUUUUAUUCAUUCAACAAAUAUUCAUCAGGCUAGUGUUGCAGUCAGGCACUGAGACACAGUGGUGGCUUUGACCCAGUCCCUGCCUCAAGUGAGCUGGGUCUAAUAGGUCAACAGCCAAGGACAUAAGUGGUGAUAAUUCAGUGAGAUGAAGGGAGCGUAUUGACUUGGAGCCUCUUAGGUGCAUGUGAGAGACACUUGACUCGGACUGAUUUAAGUAGAAAGGAAAUUCACUGGCUCACAUACCUGGAAUAUAUUUAGAUGUGGCUGGAUCCAGGAUCUCAAGAUACGUCCUCAGGAAAUUGUCUCUCUCCAUCUCUUAUCCCUGCUUUUCUCUGUGUCGGCUUCAGUCUCUGGCAGGCUGUCCCCUUGUACAGUCACAGGUGGCCCCAGCAGUUCCCAUCCUCCCUAUUACCAGCUCAGAAAUCCCAGUAGAAAGAAGGUGCCUCUUUCUCCGUGGUUUCCUCUGGUGUCGAGGGAUUGAGUCUCAUUGGACAUCUUUGGUCACAUGCAUUCCCUGUGACCAGGAGGAUCAUCUGUACCCGCUGCACGAGAUAGAGAGAGUACAGGGCAUGUCACUGCUGCCCAAAUCACUUGGACUGAGGUGGUGGCGGGUGGGGUGGGUGUGAUUCCCCCCCAAAAAUCAGAUGAGGUCACCUGAGGAAGGCAAAAUGAAUGUUUUAGGUAAAAUCCACAGAUGUCUAUCACAACUACCACAUGGAAACAGAAUAAGCCACCAGUUAAGAGCCCUGACUCUAGUUCUCAAGGAUGGAAUCCCAGUUCCAGUGUUUACAAGUUGUGUGACCAUGGCUGGAUCACUUCACCUGUCAGUCUGAGUCUCAAUGUCCCUGUCACAAUGUGGAAGUAAUGGUUCAGGAAUGUAGCUUUGGAUCAGUGUGAAAGCACGUAGCAAAGGGAUCAGGCAAGCUCCAGGAAGUGUCCCUGCCAUUUGGUGUGGCAUGAAGUCUGAAGUCUCCAGAUUUUUACCUGACCAGUUCCAGGGCAGCUGUCCACAGAAAGGCAGCCAAAGUCCCCUGGGUUCAAAUCCUCAAUCUGCCACUCACUGGCUACAUUUUCCUCCUCCAUGAAGUGAAGAUCAUCAUUCCUGCCUCCCAGGGUUUCUGGGAGAAGUGAGGAGGUGAUAUAUGGACAGUGCCUGGCACGUAUCUGUCUGUAACUGAUAGAUGUGUUCUCUGUACAGUGAUUACUCCAGAGCAUGCCAGGAGUCCAGGUGCGACUCUGGCAGGACAGACCACGUGUUCUGUGAACAAACAACCGUCCUUCUGGAUAAAGGGUGCAUUUGGCCAGCAGCCAAGGGCCCUGGGAAGGCUUUGUGUAGCCUGGCCCUUCCUUCCUUUCAACUUGCAGUGGGUGCAGCCUCACAGAGAUUCAUGUUUCACUCAUAAUCACCCCUCAGGCUCUACUAUCAGCCUGUCUUUCAUUUCCAUCACAAGGCUUUCUGCCAGACAGUUUGACAGAAUCUCAUCUGGAGUGUGUUAACUCUUUUUUCCUCGUGGCUGGCAGAGAUCUGGGAUCAGCUCUGCGUUGGGACAAGUUGUAAGUGCGUGCACAUUUACUCAAAUGUGGCCCCUCCUCCCAUCCCAUGGCCUUGUCUUAGAUCUGGGCAACUUCAAAUCAGGGAACCAAAGAAUGCUUGGAAAGGACUUUACAAGUCAUUUAAUUCAGCCUACCCAUUUUAUAGAUUAAAUUGAAAAUGUUUGGUUAAGUUGCCCAUGUUUACAUAAAUAACUUGAAGAUACAGAUAAAGCUAGAGAUCGGGUCUUAUGACUCCUAGUCCAAAACUUUUACCAUAAUAACCUGGUGUUUUAAUCAUUCAUUCACUUUUCCAGCAACAUAUAGUGAACAUCUGUUGCUGUAUUCCAGGUCCUAUUUUAGGCCCUGUGAAAACAAGUUGAGUAAGAAACAAUCUCUGCCCUUGAAGUGCUUAUGAUCUCUUCAUCUAUUCAUCCAUCCAUCUGUCUAUCCAUUAGCUCUUCAUCUUUCCAUUAGUCGACUUCUCCACCCAUCCAUGAAUACAUCUGCUUAUCUCUUUAUCCAUUCAUCCAUUCAUCAGUGUGUCUGUAAGAUCCCAAGUUCCCCAAAACAAUCUUUACUCUUUAGGCUUUCGCAUCUACUGGGGGGAAUACAAAGAAAGCUGCCUCUAAGGUAUGUAUGAAGGGCUCUGGUUGUCCACAAAAAGGGACUUGCAAUUCUGCCUGUUAUUUGUGAGAAGGCUCUUUCUUAGGGUGAAAAUAGAGCUGCACUGUGGGUAGGAGUUUCCAGUGAGGAAGAUGGGAAAGAAGCUGCUAGGCUGAGGGAACAACAGGGGCAAAGGCAUGAGGAUGUCUGGUGAGUUGGGUAGGGAGAGGAAUUUCAUUUGGUAACUCCUCCAAGGAGUGAACUGGCUGGCUAAUACCUGUUCUAACAGCCCUAUGAGAGUUGACAUCAUGGCCUGAAUCAAGGUGUUGACAGUGGAGGUAGGACCUAUGGGGUGGGAUUUGAGCAACUUGUGGAGGAAGAGUUAAUGGUGACAUAUUGGAUGAGGACCCUGAGGGAGAGGGAGGAGUCAGAGAAGACUUCAGGAUGCCUGAAUGGGCGACAGGUGACAAUGCCAUUUGCUGAAUUCAAGACCGCAAGAGGAAGAGGAGUUUUUAGGGGGACAGGGACAAUAAUGCAUUCAGUUUUAGACAUGCUGCUUUUGAGGCAUCUGUGAGAUAGCUGGGGAGAUGUGGAGGAUGAAGUUAGUUAUAGGCUUUGGGGCUUAUGAGAGAUGGAGCUGGGAGUGGACAUGGUGAGCUGUCUGGAGUGUGGAGUGUCGACUGCGCACAGAACAGCAGACAUAAAGCUGGAGUGGAGGCUGGGGCUUACACCUAC
ensembl:lncRNA